GUCCUUUAGGUUUAAAUUAAAGGUCUAACCUGCCCUAUGAUAUGUUGAAUGGCCGCGGUACUUUGACCGUGCAAAGGUAGCAUAAUCAUUUGUCUUUUAAUUGGGGACUAGAAUGAAUGGUUGGACGAGGAAUUACCUUUCUUUAAUAUAAAAAUAAAAUUUAACUUUUUAGUUAAAAGGCUAAAAUCUUUUUAUAGGACGAGAAGACCCUUUAGAACUUAACCUAUUAUUUACCCCCUCCAAUCCCCUAUCCCUUGGAGGGUAUUAAUAAUAGGUUGUGUUGGGGUGACAUUGAAAUAUUCUUAACUUUCAUUAUUUUUUGUCAUAUAUUUGUGAUUGGCUGAUCCAUAAUUUCUGAUUAUAAGAUUAAGUUACCUUAGGGAUAACAGCGUAAUUUCUUUGGAGAGAUCUUAUCGAUGGAGGAGUUUGCGACCUCGAUGUUGGAUUAAAAUAAGUAGUAGGAGUAGAAGAUUACUUACUGGGUCUGUUCGACCCUUAAUAUUUUACA
rnacentral:rRNA from 1 species